AGAUUGAACGCUGGCGGCAUGCCUUACACAUGCAAGUCGAACGGCAGCACGGGAGCAAUCCUGGUGGCGAGUGGCGAACGGGUGAGUAAUACAUCGGAACGUGCCCAAUAGUGGGGGAUAACCCGGCGAAAGCCGGACUAAUACCGCAUACGACCUACGGGUGAAAGCGGGGGAUCGCAAGACCUCGCGCUAUCGGAGCGGCCGAUGUCAGAUUAGCUUGUUGGUGGGUAAAAGCCUACCAAGGCAACGAUCUGUAGCUGGUCUGAGAGGACGACCAGCCACACUGGGACUGAGACACGGCCCAGACUCCUACGGGAGGCAGCAGUGGGGAAUUUUGGACAAUGGGCGCAAGGCCUGAUCCAGCCAUGCCGCGUGCGGGAAGAAGGCCUUCGGUUGUAAACCGCUUUGUCAGGAAGAAACGCUCUGGCUAAGUACCCCGGAGUAACUGACGGUACCUGAACGAAUAAGCACCGGCUAACUACGU
rnacentral:rRNA from 1 species